UGGGGAAUAUUGCACAAUGGGGGAAACCCUGAUGCAGCCAUGCCGCGUGUGUGAAGAAGGCCUUCGGGUUGUAAAGCACUUUCAGUGGGGAGGAAGGGCUGAUGACUAAUAUUCAUCAGCAUUGACGUUACCCACAGAAGAAGCACCGGCUAACUCCGUGCCAGCAGCCGCGGUAAUACGGAGGGUGCAAGCGUUAAUCGGAAUAACUGGGCGUAAAGCGCACGCAGGCGGUUAGAUAAGUCAGAUGUGAAAGCCCCGGGCUCAACCUGGGAACUGCAUUUGAAACUGUCUGACUAGAGUCUUGUAGAGGGGGGUAGAAUUCCAGGUGUAGCGGUGAAAUGCGUAGAGAUCUGGAGGAAUACCGGUGGCGAAGGCGGCCCCCUGGACAAAGACUGACGCUCAGGUGCGAAAGCGUGGGGAGCAAACAGG
rnacentral:rRNA from 1 species